GUCCAACUUCUCACCCCUUAUAAAAACCUAACCCCAUCAAUAUUUAUAAUUUCAUCUUCAUUUUUCAAACACAAUUCAAUCAAAACCCUCACAAAAAUUAAGAAAACACCAAAAAGGAUCAAUAAUAUGGCCAAUAAAACUGCCAUUCUCAUUUGUGUGCUAGUUGUUGUGAUUGGAUGUAGCAGCAUGCAGGGCAGUGAAGCAAUCUCAGCAUGCGCCAAGCCAUGCAUGCCAGUCUGCAUGAAGGAGGAAGGGGCAAGCAUUCCCAUCUGUGAGAUUGCCUGUGAGAACUAUUGCAAACAGAUCUCCGGCAACCGGAAUUCUGACUGGAAUCGAUAUCGCAACCUUUGAUUGUUCAUCAAGCAAGUUUCAGAUUUAAUUAAGUUCUAAUUAAAUUGGUCUAAAUAAAUGAUGUAACUACUGGAAUUUUGUGAAUAUUAUAAGGGUAGCUGAACAAUAUUCCAUUGUAGUUUGUAAAUAAAAAUGCAAUAUUCUUUACCAAGCAUACUUUGUAAUAUUUUUUUACCAUCAGUUUCUUUACUAUCAUAUACAACAUUCCCCUCACAAAAUAAAAUGAGACUCGUAAUUAGCUCGUAGAAUGUUAAAAUAACAAAAGUGCAAUCACCAAACGAAUCGUCAUCAUCAUUUUAUUGAAAACUUUUUCAUAUUGG
rnacentral:lncRNA from 1 species